rnacentral:rRNA from 1 species
GCGGCAGGCCUAACACAUGCAAGUCGAGCGGAUGAAANAGCUUGCUCUUCGAUUCAUCGGCGGACGGGUGAGUAAUGCCUAGGAAUCUGCCUGGUNCUGGGGGACCACGUUUCGAACGGAACGCUAUACCGCAUACGUCCUAUGGGAUAAAGCUGGGGGACCUUACGGCCUUGCCCCUAUCUAAUGAGCCUAGGUCCGGGUAUCUACUUAUUUGGGUGAAGGUUAUCGCUCCCCCGAAGGGUAACUGGUCUGAAAGGAUGAUCAGCCACCCUGGAACUGAGACACGG